rnacentral:rRNA from 1 species
GACGAACGCUGGCGGCGUGCCUAAUACAUGCAAGUCGAGCGGAGUUGAUGAGGUGCUUGCACCUCUGAUGCUUAGCGGCGGACGGGUGAGUAACACGUAGGCAACCUGCCUGCAAGGCCGGGAUAACAUUCGGAAACGGAUGCUAAUACCGGAUACGCGGUUUUGUCGCAUGACGAAGCCGGGAAAGACGGCGCAAGCUGUUACUUGCAGAUGGGCCUGCGGCGCAUUAGCUGGUUGGCGGGGGAACGGCCCACCAAGGCGACGAUGCGUAGCCGACCUGGGAGGGUGAGCGGCCACACAGGGACUGAGACACGGCCCAGACUCCUACGGGAGGCAGCAGUAGGAAAUCUUCCGCAAUGGACGAAAGUCUGACGGAGCAACGCCGCGUGAGUGAGGAAGGCCUUCGGGUCGUAAAGCUCUGUUGCCAGGGAAGAACGUCGCGGGGAGUAACUGCCCUGCGAAUGACGGUACCUGAGAAGAAAGCCCCGGCUAACUACGUGCCAGCAGCCGCAGUAAUAC